rnacentral:rRNA from 1 species
CACGUAGGGUGCGAGCGUUGUCCGGAUUUAUUGGGCGUAAAGAGCUCGUAGGUGGCUUGUCGCGUCUGCCGUGAAAGCCCAUGGCUUAACUAUGGGUCUGCGGUGGAUACGGGCAGGCUAGAGGCUGGUAGGGGCAAGCGGAAUUCCUGGUGUAGCGGUGAAAUGCGCAGAUAUCAGGAGGAACACCGGUGGCGAAGGCGGCUUGCUGGGCCAGUUCUGACGCUGAGGAGCGAAAGCGUGGGGAGCGAACAGG